AUGCAGGGAGAUAGUGAUGAUGAUGAUGAUGUCUGGGUACCGCAAGUCCCGAACUUCAAUCCACUCUGGCUACUUGAAGACCAGGAUGAUCUUGAGGAGCCUCUUGACUUGCAUCUGGAUGAAGAGUAUAACUCUCAGCUCUCAAAGGCAGACCGGCUCCUUGAAGAGGGAGAGGAGAUGCUUACACGUGCGUUUGCCCUGCAUGCGCACAUUAAGGAUCAUAUCAAUCGACGGAUUACGUAUGUCGCUGCAGAGUCUGUUCUUCAACAAAUGGCAGUAGUUGCCACCCGGUUGCUACAUCUUGGUACUGAGUCAAGGGACUUCUCGCCAGAUCUCCAACAGUUUGCGCUUCAGAGGAUGGAACUUGGUCAAUGA
rnacentral:rRNA from 1 species